GAUGAACGCUGGCGGCGUGCCUAAUACAUGCAAGUCGAGCGAACGGACGAGAAGCUUGCUUCUCUGAUGUUAGCGGCUGACGGGUGAGUAACACGUGGAUAACCUACCUAUAAGACUGGGAUAACUUCGGGAAACCGGAGCUAAUACCGGAUAAUAUUUUGAACCGCAUGGUUCAAAAGUGAAAGACGGUCUUGCUGUCACUUAUAGCUGGAUCCGCGCUGCAUUAGCUAGUUGGUAAGGUAACGGCUUACCAAGGCAACGAUGCAUAGCCGACCUGAGAGGGUGAUCGGCCACACUGGAACUGAGACACGGUCCAGACUCCUACGGGAGGCAGCAGUAGGGAAUCUUCCGCAAUGGGCGAAAGCCUGACGGAGCAACGCCGCGUGAGUGAUGAAGGUCUUCGGAUCGUAAAACUCUGUUAUUAGGGAAGAACAUAUGUGUAAGUAACUGUGCACAUCUUGACGGUACCUAAUCAGAAAGCAACGGCUAACUACGUG
rnacentral:rRNA from 1 species